rnacentral:rRNA from 1 species
AACGAACGCUGGCGGCAGGCCUAACACAUGCAAGUCGAGGGGGAAGCUACUUUCGGGUAGUGGAGACCGGCGCACGGGUGAGUAACGCGUGGGAACCUACCCUGGGGUCGGGGGAUAACCACUGGAAACGGUGGCUAAUACCGCAUACGCCUUUAGAGGGAAAGAUUUAUCGCCCUAGGACGGGCCCGCGUUAGAUUAGCUUGUUGGUGAGGUAAAGGCUCACCAAGGCGACGAUCUAUAGCUGGUCUGAGAGGAUGAUCAGCCACACUGGGACUGAGACACGGCCCAGACUCCUACGGGAGGCAGCAGUGGGGAAUAUUGGACAAUGGGGGGCAGCCCUGAUCCAGCCAUGCCGCGUGCGUGAAGAAGGCCUUAGGGUUGUAAAGCGCUUUCACCGGUGAAGAUGAUGACGGUAGCCGGAGAAGAAGCCCCGGCUAACUCCGUG